GGAAUAAGUAGCGAGAAUUAUGUGAGAAUCAUAAUGGCCGAAAAUCUAAGGUUUCCUGGGGAAGGUUCGUCCGCCCAGGGUUAGUCGGGAGCUAAGCUCAGGCCGAAAGGCGUAGGCGAUGCACAUACGGUAGAAAUUCCGUAACCACCGAACUUUAAGCUAGAGGGACGCUUUCUUUAAGGUUAUCCCGGGCGAUGGUUGCCCCGGGCGUAAGGGACCGAAAUUUAGUAGGGAAGUAACUGGCGAGAGAGACGAGAAAAGCUCUAGUGUAUACUAAGGUGCCCGUACCGCAAACCGACACAGGUAGAAGGGAUGAGUAUUCUAAGGCCAACGGGAGAAGGGUUGUUAAGGAACUCGGCAAAUUGGCCCCGUAACUUCGGGAUAAGGGGCGCCUGCGAGAGCAGGCCGCAGUGAAAAGGCCCAAGCGACUGUUUAGCAAAAACACAGCUCUCUGCUAAAUCGAAAGAUGACGUAUAGGGGGUGACGCCUGCCCGGUGCUGGAAGGUUAAGGGGAGUGCUUAGCGCAAGCGAAGGUGCGAACUUAAGCCCCAGUAAACGGCGGCCGUAACUAUAACGGUCCUAAGGUAGCGAAAUUCCUUGUCAGGUAAGUUCUGACCCGCACGAAUGGCGUAACGAUUUGGGCACUGUCUCAACAGCCCGCCCGGCGAAAUUGUAGUACCGGUGAAGAUGCCGGUUUCCCGCAACUAGACGGAAAGACCCCAUGGAGCUUCACUGUAGCUUGAUAUUGGAUCUCGGUAUUCCAUGUACAGGAUAGGUGGGAGGCUAGGAAGCGAGCGCGCCAGCGUUCGUGGAGCCGUCCUUGGGAUACCACUCUUGGGAUAUUGGAGUUCUAACCUGCGACCAUGAAUCUGGUCGGGGGACAUUGUCAGGUGGGCAGUUUGACUGGGGCGGUCGCCUCCAAAAGAGUAACGGAGGCGCUCAAAGGUUCGUUCAGCACGGACGGAAAUCGUGCACUGAGUGUAAACGCAUAAACGAGCCUAACUGCGAGAAUGACGGUUCGAGCAGUAACGAAAGUUGGAGUUAGUGAUCCGGCGGUAUGUGAAUGGAAAUGCCGUCGCUCAACGGAUAAAAGCUACCCUGGGGAUAACAGGCUGAUCUCCCCCAAGAGUCCACAUCGACGGGGAGGUUUGGCACCUCGAUGUCGGCUCAUCGCAUCCUGGGGCUGAAUUCGGUCCCAAGGGUUUGGCUGUUCGCCAAUUAAAGCGGUACGCGAGCUGGGUUCAGAACGUCGUGAGACAGUUCGGUCCCUAUCUGUUGCGGGCGCAGGAAUAUUGAGAGGAGCUGUCCUUAGUACGAGAGGACCGGGAUGGACGUACCGCUGGUGCACCAGUUGUUCUGCCAAGGGCAUAGCUGGGUAGCUAAGUACGGACGAGAUAAACGCUGAAGGCAUCUAAGCGUGAAACUCCCCUCGAGAUAAGUGUUCCCAUCCUUCGGGAGUAAGGCCCCUUGUAGACUACAAGGUUGAUAGGUCAGGAGUGGAAGUGCAGUAAUGUAUGGAGCGGACUGAUACUAAUAGGCCGAGGGCUUGACCUA
rnacentral:rRNA from 1 species